UACGUAGGGUGCAAGCGUUAAUCGGAAUUACUGGGCGUAAAGCGCACGUAGGCGGCUUUGUAAGUUAGAGGUGAAAGCCCGGGGCUCAACUCCGGAAUUGCCUUUAAGACUGCAUCGCUAGAAUUGUGGAGAGGUAAGUGGAAUUCCGAGUGUAGAGGUGAAAUUCGUAGAUAUUCGGAAGAACACCAGUGGCGAAGGCGACUUACUGGACACAUAUUGACGCUGAGGCGCGAAAGCGUGGGGAGCAAACAGG
rnacentral:rRNA from 1 species